CAACUUCCUUGCAGUUGGUUUGUUGCGAGGUUCUGUACAGAAACAACCGGGUCACACUUCCCAGCGGGAUGAUGUCGGCGGUUUCACUCAGUCUGUUCCUGGCGUUAAUAGUCCGUGUCCAUUCCGAUAUCGUUCUCACUCAGCCCAAGACAGAGACCGGCACUCCUGGAGGCUCCAUCACACUGACCUGUAAAGUCAGCGGGUUCGAUCUUAGCAGCUACUAUAUGCAUUUGGUCCGUCAGGUCCCCGGGCAGGGGCUGGAGUGGCUGCUUGCCUACUACAGUUCUUCUAGCAAGUACUUCGCACCGGGGAUAGAGACCCGAUUUACUCCGUCCACAGACCAUUCGACUAACAUAUUCACCGUGAUCGCCAGGAACCUGAGGAUCGAAGACACCGCUGUAUAUUACUGUGCGAGAGACACAGUGUGAGCAUUCAGUGUCAGACCCGUACAAGAACGGCACGUUGGGAAG